UUCUGAAAGCAAAGAAAGAGGGCAC
rnacentral:piRNA from 1 species